CCUACGGGGGGCAGCAGUGGGGAAUAUUGCACAAUGGGGGAAACCCUGAUGCAGCGACGCCGCGUGGGUGCAGGAGUAAUUCGUUACGUAAAGCUCUAUCAGCAGGGAAGAAAAUGACGGUACCUGACUACGAAGCCCCGGCUAACUACGUGCCAGCAGCCGCGGUAAUACGUAGGGGGCAAGCGUUAUCCGGAUUUACUGGUUGUAAAGGGAGCGCAGACGGCAGUGCAAGUCUGGAGUGAAAGGCGGGGGCGCAACCCCCGGACUGCUCUGGAAACUGUACGCCUGGAGUGCAGGAGGGGUAAGUGGAAUUCCUAGUGUAGCGGGGAAAUGCGUAGAUAUUAGGAGGAACACCAGUGGCGAAGGCGGCUUACUGGACUGUAACUGACGUUGAGGCUCGAAAGCGUGGGGAGCAAACAGGAUUAGAUACCCCUGUAGUC
rnacentral:rRNA from 1 species